rnacentral:rRNA from 1 species
UACGUAGGGGGCUAGCGUUGUCCGGAAUCAUUGGGCGUAAAGCGCGUGUAGGCGGUUCGGUAAGUCCGCUGUGAAAGUCGGGGGCUCAACCCUCGGAUGCCGGUGGAUACUGUCGGACUAGAGUACGGAAGAGGCGAGUGGAAUUCCUGGUGUAGCGGUGAAAUGCGCAGAUAUCAGGAGGAACACCGAUUGCGAAGGCAGCUCGCUGGGACGUUACUGACGCUGAGACGCGAAAGCGUGGGGGGCAAACAGG